UGGCUCAGUUGGUAGAGCGUGGUGUUUGCAACGCCAGGGUUGUGGGUUCAAUUCCCAA
rnacentral:tRNA from 1 species